rnacentral:rRNA from 1 species
UACGUAGGGGGCUAGCGUUGUCCGGAUUUAUUGGGCGUAAAGAGCGUGUAGGCGGCCAGGUAGGUCCGCUGUGAAAGUCCGAGGCUCAACCUCGGAAUUUCGGCGGAAACCCUCUGGCUAGAGUCCGGAAGAGGAGAGUGGAAUUCCCGGUGUAGCGGUGAAAUGCGCAGAUAUCGGGAAGAACACCCGUGGCGAAGGCGGCUCUCUGGAACGGUACUGACGCUGAGAAGCGAAAGCGUGGGGAGCGAACAGG